GGCCGUAACUAUAACGGUCCUAAGGUAGCGAAAUUCCUUGUCGGGUAAGUUCCGACCCGCACGAAAGGCGUAACGAUUUGGGCACUGUCUCAACAAUAGACUCGGUGAAAUUGUAAUCCCGGUGAAGAUGCCGGGUACCUGCGACAGGACGGAAAGACCCCAUGGAGCUUUACUGUAGCUUGACGUUGGGUCUUGGUACUACAUGUACAGGAUAGGUGGGAGACUAUGAAGCAUGGACGCCAGUCUGUGUGGAGUCAUCCUUGGGAUACCACCCUUGUAGUACUGGGAUCCUAACCAUAGGCCUUGAAUCAGGUCUUGGAACACCGUCAGGUGGGCAGUUUGACUGGGGCGGUCGCCUCCUAAAAAGUAACGGAGGCGCUCAAAGGUUUCCUCAGCACGGUCGGAAAUCGUGCGAAGAGUGUAAAGGCAAAAGGAAGCUUGAUUGCAAGACAUACAGGUCGAGCAAGGACGAAAGUCGGACUUAGUGAUCCGGUGGUACCGCAUGGAAGGGCCAUCGCUCAACGGAUAAAAGCUACCCUGGGGAUAACAGGCUUAUCUCCCCCAAGAGUCCACAUCGACGGGGAGGUUUGGCACCUCGAUGUCGGCUCAUCACAUCCUGGGGCUGUAGUAGGUCCCAAGGGUUGGGCUGUUCGCCCAUUAAAGUGGUACGCGAGCUGGGUUCAGAACGUCGUGAGACAGUUCGGUCCCUAUCCGUCGCAGGCGUAGGAAAUUUGAGAAGACCUGUCCUUAGUACGAGAGGACCGGGAUGGACGUACCUCUGGUGUACCAGUUGUUCUGCCAAGGGCAUGGCUGGGUAGCUAUGUACGGAAUGGAUAAGCGCUGAAAGCAUCUAAGCGCGAAGCCAACUUCAAGAUAAGAUUUCCCACCGUAAGGGUAAGACCCCAGGAAGACUACCUGGUUGAUAGGUCGAAGGUGUAAGUGCAGUAAUGUAUUUAGCUUAUCGAUACUAAUAGGUCGAGGACUUGACCAA
rnacentral:rRNA from 1 species